UGAUUGAUGAUCUUCAUGGAAGCCGUCAGUUGCUGCUCCAAGGCAAGGUAGUAGGCAGGAUCUUGAUGUGGCUAUGGGUCGAUCACAAAGGACUGUGACUCGUUUUUUCCUUUUUUGUUUGUUUGCGAACAGUUUCUGCUGCAGCACUAUAACAGAUGAUGUUUGGACCUGCAUGCGCCCAGUUUACUGUAUUACUUCUUGGCAUUUCUCCAUUGAUUUCUUUAGGCGUGUUUCUUGUGAUUGAUAAUUUGCUCUGUCUGGUUAAGCAAACUGGGAGGGAACAAAAUGAUGAUGUGCUUAUAUUUAGUUCAAGUUUCUGCAGCUGCUAUUCCAUCAUCAAAAAGCAUGCAUGUGACGAGCUGCAUAUAUAUAUAGUUUAUUCAGUGAUUCAGAUAAGUGUAAUUUCUGUUGGUGUAAAUCCAUCAUCAUGUUGAAAGCUAGCAUGAUUGAUUGAUUUGUCAUUCAUACUUGAUGAUACUACAAUGCCUCUGGACUGAAUGAAUCCUGGUGGUGUUCAGUCAGUCAGUAUAUUACCUUGCAGCAGCGCGUGUCCAGUCCAGUUUUGCAGAAUUAUGGCAGAGUUUUAACUUGGCUAGCUGUUUGCUUUUUUGCCUGCAGCGCGCAAAUUUUACAUGAUUUGUUUAGCUGCUGCUGCUGCUGCUGAAAUUUGCUUUCUAGUAGUUUCUGUAGCUGCUGUUCCAUCUUCAGAAACAUGCAUGUGUUGAGCUACAUACCUAUAUAUAUGGUUUAUUGAGUGUAUCUGUCUGAAGUUGAUUCUGAUCUUUGUGUGCCUUUGUUAGUGUAGAUCCAUCAUGUUGAAAGUUAUCAUGAUUAACUUGCCACUUCUAUGUCCUAUAGAUACAAUCAUACAAUGCCUCUGGAAUGAAUCCUGGUGGUAUAUACACCAUCGCAGCAGUGCGUGUCCAAUCCAGUUUUGCACUAAUAACUGACGGGAUGAUGUCUUAGGAAUCCUGGUGGUAUUUACUGGCUUUCUCUUCUAUAUUUAUUUCCCAUUUUUCCUUUUCUUUAUUUAUUAAAUCAUGAGUUGUUUUCCAAAAUAACUGAGUUUUAAAACUCAUAAACUUUCUUUAAUUUCAAAAAUAAUUUCAUUUUUUAUGAUUUUUCAAUAUUCAUUAGUUAUUUUAAAAUUUCCAAAACAUCUUAAAGCUCCGACCAGGCGCAGGAGUCGCUCGACAAGCUGCAGGCCUUGCUCCCUCCCUCCCUCCUCGACGGCUCCAGGAACCCUAGAUGGCCAUGGUGAGACUGUAGGAGGUCAGACCCCUCCUCUCAUUCUCUUCUUCUUCUUCUUCUUCUUCUUCUUCUUCUUCUUCUUCUUCUUCUUCUUCUUCUUCUUCUUCUUCUUCUUCUUCUUCUUCUAUCUCUGUUUUUUUCCUCUCCGCAUCUCAUCUGAUGUAGGCGUGUGUGCGUUCGGUCAUGUGCAGGCACUAUCCUCCCAUCUCAUCUCCCUUGGUGGUGAAGGAAGGAGGCCAUGGAGACGGAAGCUGCUGCCCUCCCAUUUCAUCUCCCUCCUUGCACGGUGAAGGAAGGAGGCCAUGGAGAGAGAAGUUCCGAUGCCGAUGCCGAUUCAAGAGGAGGGCCAUGGAAGGUCCUAUCCUUUCCUCUAUCUUGUUUGCUUGAGUCCUGUUUCCAUCUUCUCCAUUCAAACAUGUUCUUCCCGAUUCAGAUAUCUACAGUGUACUAAUAUGGUAUUCUAGUCGUUUAUGUAGCUGAAGAAAAUGUGCAAGGAGGGCGCAUAUUGGGGUAACCAAGUAGAAGCGUAUUACUCUGUUGUUUUAUUUGGCUGAUAUAAAUGCAUUGGCGUCAAACACUCAUUCGUUUCUUCUUAUGUUCGCUGACACAUUCAGAUGCUUCUUCUAUUAAUCUACAGGUGCUGUUGCUGGAGUGUAUGUAGGCAUGGAGUACGAAGUGGAAAGGGUCCGUGGAGAGUAUGACUGGGUAAUGAUGCUCUAAAAAUGGAUCUUUCAUGCUUCUUGCACUUACCUGAACCUUAGGUGAAGGAAUAUCUAUCUGCAUGACUGCCUCUACCCAUUUGACAAUGGAGAUCCUUUCUUUAGUUUGACUAAGAUUCUUUGCUAAUGAGUGUACGAGAAGAAUCAAUCUGAUUCAUUGCAUCUUAUAAAUCAUGAUGCUAGUUUUUACUUCUAUCUCCACACCCCGUUGUAAGGUUAUUGUUUGAGUUAAGUUCACCGAACAAUACUGGAUGCAGUAACACCCAAGCAAUUAUUAUAGAGGGAGGGAGGGAGGUGGCAUCCCAAAUCAUACCUGUCUAUGAUAUGAUUGGGAGGGAAUAUACUGACUGCUACUGUUACAAUGUCUUGUUGAUUUCUUUUAACAAUCAUACCUAGCUAAAAUCUUCUUAUCCACAACAGAGCAGCCUCAUCCUCUUCAUGAUGGCUCAACUGCCUCUGAUUCUUCCUGUUUGCUGCCUUGCCUUGCAGAUGCGGUAGCUCAAGGGCGAGGUCGACAUCUUCUCCAGGGCCGAGGGGUCGGCGCUGUUCGAGAUGUGCAACACCAGGAUAUGAUCUAUUGGAACAAUUUUGGUGUUGUUCAAAUGUUUAAAUUCUGGUUCUUUGUUUCAAACAUCUAAAUGCUGUUUAAUUUGUACUUCUAUGCUUAAAUGAUAAAAAUGUCGCAUUUAUAGGAUUGUAAACCUGAUGUGAUUGGAGUAGUAUUUACUUGUUGCUGAUAGUAACUACUUGUAUCCACUGAUUUCUAUGCCUCAUUUUGCUUGUUUUACUUUAUUUAUGCACACAGACUGCCUACAAGUUAAUGUGCUUUUAGAUUUGCCUUUAUUUUGCUCCUUACCAUAUUGUUUGAUAACUUGCAGAUGUUGUACUUCAUUCGUGUUUCGUCGUGGGCUCCAAGAAGUGAAGAAGCAUUGAGUUCUAGCUCAUUGGAGCUAGUUAUACUUUGAUAGAUAGUUAUAUUUUGAUAUUUAGUUGAGUUCUUGGUGGCUGUAAACCUGAUGUGAAGUAUGUUCGAUUAUAAACGUGGUGUAUGUAUGGUUGUAAGGUGAAAAUUUUGGUUUUUUGAUUUGUUGAAGUAUUACUUCUGUUUUCAGUCCGUUCUAAUUUAAAUAUUUGUUUUAAUUUACUGGAAAAUCAAAAUUUGAAGAACAUGACCCUGACCAUUGGGACCCACUCAAACCCAUCUGACUAUUGGUUCUAUCUUAAAAAAAAGAAAUGUAACUAAAAAAAGAAAUGUAACUGUUGAGCCAAAAAGGCCAUGGCCGAAAAAAGAAGGCCCAAUUGUUGGGUCAGGCCAAUGUAGAAAUCAAAACUAUUAGAAAAAAUAACACAUUAAAUGGGCUGAAUUAAUGGGCUCGGCCCAUAUAGACACCUAAUCGGACCGGGCUGAUUCUUGUCAACGACCUUUCCAUUUGGUCGUAAUUUUGUCACAUCAGCUUGCCACGUCGGAUCCAACGUGGCCUGGGAAAAUAGCUAGUGACCAAAACAAAACCGUAGGCAUAUUUUGGUCGUAAAUGUCUACGACCUUCUCACAGAGAAGGUCGUUAAUUUCAGUUUAUGUCCGUCAGCUUUUGACCAUCUGUUUUUGGUCACAAAAAGGUCACAAAUGGAAGAUAAUGACCAUUCAGUGACCAAUAGUCAAGGUCACAAGUUGACAUAUUUCUUGUAGUGCAUGUCGAAGUUACCGGGGAGGGGGUAUAUCGACCCCCCUCUCUUUUUUCCUUUUUUCUUCUUCUUAUUUAUUUCUCCUCUAAAAUGUAACUUUUGCAUAUAUAAAACUUUUUAUUCUUCUUUCUUCUUCCUUCUCUUCCUUCUUCCUUCUUCCUAAAUAUAUAAAACUUUUCUAAAAAUGAAACUAACCUAAAAUGCACUAAAUCAUAGAACAUACAUAGAUGAAACUUUUCUAAAAUCUAACGUUUGCAUAUAUGAACAUAUAUAUACACAGAGAACAUAUACAUAUAUAUACAAUUUUAUAAUAAUGAAAAAAAAUGAGAGGAAGGCCGGUGGCCAGACCGAAGGCGGCGGCGUGUGGUCGGGGCGACGGCGACGGGGUCGGGGAAGGGGCGGCGCAUGCGGCGACGGUGACGGGGUCGGGGCAGGGGCGACACACGCGGCGAUGGCGACGGUGUCGGGGCUUGCAGGGGCGGCGCGCGCGGCGACGACGACGGCGACAGCGUCGGGACAGGGGCGUCGAGGGCGUCGGCGGCUGCGAUAGCGAGGUGGACCAGCCUGACGGCGUUGGGGCAGGGCUCGACGGCAACGGCGACGAGGAGCAGGAGGCGUCGGGGCGGAGAAGAAACAAAUGGAUUUUGGCGAAACUGCUAAGUCUUGUUUAUAUAGCCAGAGCAUUGGUCCCGGUUCGUGGCACCAACCAGGACCAAUACCCCCCUUUAGUCCCGGUUGGUGCCACCAAUGACCAAAGGUCUCUUUUCAGUAGCCUAAAGGGCGGGAAGCAGAGGCCUUUGGUCCCGUUUGGUGCCACCAACCGGGACUAAAGGUAGGCAUUGGUCCCAGUUGGUGCGCCGAACCGGGACUAAAGGUGUGCAUUGGUCCCGGUUCGUGGCACGGACCAAUGGCCUGCGCCUGCCAAAGCCGCGGUGAGGUGGUAUGUUUAGUCCCACCUCGCUAGCUGAAGAGCGGCAGCACCUGUUUAUAAGUGCUGUUGUGCCCACCUUCCGCGGGCCUUAAUCCUGGCCCAUGAGUUGGUUUCUAGUCGUAUUCAGGCCGUAGUGGCCUAGUAGGUGGCAUUUUCCCCCCAUUUUUUGGUUUUCUUUGGUACUUUUUUUCUACUUACAACAAAAUACUUACUUUUGCUAUUUUUAUUUAUUUUAUUAAGGUUUGUUUUUUAGGUGGCAUUCUUUUCCCAUUUUCUGUUUACUUUCGUACUUUUUUCUACUUACAACAAAAUACUUACUUUUGCUAUUUUUAUUUAUUUUAUUAAGGUUUAUUUAUUUUAUUAAGGUUUAUUUAUUUUAUUAAGGUUUAUUUUUUUAGUUUUUUUCUACUUUCAACAAAAUAUUUUCUUUUUGAUUUCUUUUUUGCUUUUUGUAUUUAUUUUAUGAAAAUUCUUUUUUGCUUUUAAUGCUUUGAACAAAAAAUACUUUGAUAAUUUUAGUUGCAUAAAUUCUAUAUAAUUUUAGUUUUAAUAACACUAGAGGUUUAUAAAAUAUUUUUAGUUGAUUCCUUUAGUACCAGUUCUAAGGCUGUUACAAAGGCAUUUUAUUUGGUAUCGGUUCUAAGGCUGGGGCUCCACGAGCACCUUUAGUACCGGUUCAUGACAUGAACCGGUAAAAAGAGUUUUUUAGUUGAUUCUUUCUGUAGCUGUUUUUUAGUCCCACCUCGCCAAGCGAGAGGCACUCCCAGCGGUUUAUAAGCCCUGAGUGCAGAGACGAUGCAGGAGAGGCGCAAUGCUCACCUGCACGUUGCUUAUCUUCAAGCCUUGAGGAAGUGGUGUAGACUGCACGGAGCUAUCAGGGUUUCGUGCAGGCGAGCAUUGCGUCUCUCUUUUAGUUUCAAUAAUACUAGAGGUUUUAUAAAACUUCAUUUUGUUUUUACUUAUUUAUUAAAGUUUAUUUUGUUUCUACUUAUAUUUUCUUUUCCUUUUUGCUUCUUUUAUUUAUUUUAUGAAAUUUCUUUCUUUUUUUCUUUAUUUAUUUUAUUUUGUUUCUACCUGCUGUUGCUAUUUUUAUUUAUUUUAUUAUAAUUUAUUUAUUUUACAUUACUAAAGUUUAUUUUGUUUCUACUUAUUUAUUAAAGUUUUUUCUAUUUCUAGUUAUUUAUUUUAUUUUGUUUCUACUUAUUUAUUUUCAUUUUGUUUUGCUUUUUUUAUUUAUUUUAUGAAAAUUCUUUUUUCUUUUAAUGUUUUACACACAAAAGCCCUCUCCCCUGGCUCGAUUGGUACCGGUUUGUGGCCUGACCCGGCCCGAAAGAUAAUGCUUUGGUACCGGUUCAGGCCACAAGCCGGUACCUGUGGUGUUGGGCCAGGAGCGGAGCCCAUUGGUCCCGGUUUGUGCCCCCAACCGGGACCAAAGGGGCCAGACGAACCGGGACCAAUGCCGCAUGAGGCCCGGCAGGCCCCUGGCCUCACAAACUGGGACCAGUGGGCCCAUUGGUAUCGGUACCUGAGCGAACCGGGACUAAUGGGCUUAUCUGGCCCGGACGUAUGCCUUGUUUUCUACUAGUGAACUUUGUCCUUUCAUCUCUCAUUGCUAGAUUAGCUCUUGCAAUGCUUUAUGUAGUGAUUAAUUUGUGGGUUUUAGUAAUUUGGGAGGAAUUAUAUGUGGUAGUUUAUUUGAUUUAUAUGCAAUUUGAGCUUAAAAUAACUCUUAGUUUGCAUAUGUAACCACCAUCGAUCGUCCGCACCGACCCAUCGCCGGCACCACCUUGUGGUGAGCCUCUUGUUCUUAUCUUUUUUAUAUAAAAAAUUCAUGUUUCUGUGAUUUAGAUAUAUAGUUACUUGUAUAAUUAUCUUACCCGUAUGUUGUUUGUUAUACAUAGUGCCAUGGUUUUGAUAUCCGUCCCUGUCGGCCGUUGUCCGUGUUAUGAUUCGGAUGUGGUAUGUUCUCCUUUAAAAGUAUUUGUUGCAUUUAGUGUUUAUGACAAAUUAUGCCCAUCAUGUUGACAUAGAUAUUUUUAUCUAGGAGGUAUGUGAACCGGAAAUUCCAACCGACAAGAUUUUCGAGAGGUUAAAUUUAGUGGAAAGAGAAAACGAGUAUUUGAAAGAAAAAUUGAAAAGAAUUGAGGGGGAGAAGAUGGAAUUGGAGUUGCAUGUUGCCGAUGUCGUCGAUGAUCACAAGAUCAAGAUGGAGAAAAUGCGGUUGAAGAUUAGAAAGAUUAGAAAAUAUGCCAUUGAUAGUGAGGCUUGGUAUCAUUAUGUUGUUGGAUCAAUUGUUACCUUAGUUGCGAUCUUGAUCGUAUUUGUUGUUACAUUUAUAUGCUUUAGCUAGAGAGUUAUUUGUAUGUUGCAUUUAAGUGUUGUAUGAACUUUAUGUAUGAACUUGUAUUAAUUUGGUCUAUUCAGUGGUGUGUAAUGAAGAUGAGCUGGCAAUGGAUGUACGAUGACCGAUGCUCUCCCUAGUUCGUUGAUGGCGUGCAUACUUUUCUGAUUGCGGCUCACGCAGAAAAGCGGGUGGAUGGUUUUAAGCCUUGUCCAUGUGCUGGUUGUAAGAAUGAUCACAAUUACUCUAGCUCAAGAACCAUUCACGUCCACCUGCUUGAGUCCGGUUUCAUGCCCCACUAUAAUGUUUGGAACAAGCACGGAGAAAGAGGGGUUAUGAUGGAAGACAAUGAAGAAGAAGAGGACGACGAUAGCUAUCCUGGCCAUGGGUUUCCUGAAUACGAUGAUACAACAAUGCGAGAAGAAGCUGAGCCGGCAAUGCAAGAAGAAGUUGAAGAAGAGGCAUCAGAUGAGCCUGCUGAUGAUCUAGGUCGGGCCAUUGCCGAUGCAAAGAGAAACUGCCCAAGUGAAAGGGAGAAGAAGAAGUUGCAGCGCAUGUUAGAGGAUAACAAGAAAUUGUUGUACCCGAGUUGCGAAGGUGACAAGAAAAAGCUGGGCACCACACUGGAAUUGCUGCAAUGGAAGGCAGAGAAUGGUGUAUCUGACAAGGGAUUUGGAAAGUUGUUGGUAAUGAUGAAGAAUAUGCUUCCAAAGGACAAUGAAUUGCCCGAGAGUACGUACGAAGCAAAGAAGGUCGUCUGCCCUCUAGGGUUAGAGGUGCAGAAGAUACAUGCAUGCCCUAAUGACUGCAUCCUCUACUGCAGUGAGUACAAGGAUUUGAACGCGUGCCCGGUAUGGGGUGCAUUGCGCUAUAAGAUCAACCGCGAUGACCCUGGUGAUGUCGAGGGUGAGCGCCCCAGGAAGAAGAUUCCUGUGAAGGUGAUGUGGUAUGCUCCUAUAAUACCACAGUUGAAACGUUUGUUCCCAAACAAAGAGCAUGCCAAGGCGAUGCGAUGGCACGGAGAAGACCGUAAUAAAGACGAAAAGUUGAGAGUACCCGCUGACGGGUCGCAGUGGAGAAAAAUCGAGAGAAAGUACAGGGAGGAGUUUGCAGGUGACCCAAGGAACGUAUGGUUUGGUCUAAGCGCAGAUGGCAUUAAUCCUUUUGGGGAGCAGAGCAGCAACCAUAGCACCUGGCCUGUGACUCUAUGUUUGUAUAACCUUCCUCCUUGGUUGUGCAUGAAGAGGAAGUUCAUUAUGAUGCCAGUGCUCAUCCAAGGCCCUAAGCAACCCGGCAACAACAUUGAUGUGUACCUAAGGCCAUUAGUUGAAGAACUAUUACAGCUGUGUCAUGGAAAAGGUGUACGUGCAUGGGAUGAGCAGAAACAGGAAGAAUUUGACCUAAAGGCAUUGUUGUUCGUGACCAUAAAUGAUUGGCCUGCCCUUAGUAACCUUUCAAGAUAGACAAACAAGGGAUACCGCGGAUGCACACACUAUUUGGAUGAUACCGACAGUAUAUAUUUGGAUAGUUGUAGGAAGAAUGUGUACCUAGGACAUCGUCGAUUUCUUCCGAGCAGGCAUCCCGUAAGAAAGAAAGGCAAGCAUUUAAAAGGUGAGGCGGAUCACCGGACGAAGCCACGCCACCGUACUGGUGCUGAUGUACAUUAUAUGGUCAAGGAUUUGACGGUUAUCUUUGGAAAGGGUCCUGGCGGACAACCUGUUCCAAAGGACGCUUACGGACACGCACCCAUGUGGAAGAAGAAAUCUAUAUUUUGGGACCUGCACUAUUGGAAUGACCUAGAGGUCCGCUCCGCAAUCGACGUGAUGCACGUGACGAAGAAUCCUUGAAUGACCCUGCUUGGCUUCUUGGGCGUGUAUGGGAAGACAAAAGAUACACCGGAGGCACGGGAGGACCAGCAACGUAUGCACAGAAAAGACGGCAUACAUCAGGGUUAUGCCAGCUACGCUGUUACCAAAGAAGAGAAGGAAAUCUUCUUUGAAUGCCUGCUCAGUAUGAAGGUAUUGUCCGGUUUCUCGUCGAAUAUAAAGGGAAUAAUAAAUAUGGCAGAGAAAAAGUUCCAGAACUUAAAGUCUCAUGGCUGCCACGUGAUUAUGAAGCAACUUCUUCCGGUUGCAUUGAGGGGGCUUCUACCGGAAAACGUUCGAUUAGCCAUUGUGAAGCUAUGUGCAUUCCUCAAUGCAAUCUCUAGAAGGUAAUCAAUCCAGAAAUCAUACCAAGGUUACAGAAUGAUUUGGUGCAAUGUCUUGUCAGUUUCGAGUUGGUGUUCCCACCAUCCUUCUUCAACAUCAUGACGCACGUCCUAGUUCACCUUUGCGAAGAGAUUAACGUUUUGGGUCAUGUAUUUCUACACAAUAUGUUCCCCUUUGAGAGGUUCAUGGGAGUCUUGAAGAAAUAUGUUCAUAACCGUGCUAGGCCAGAAGGAAGCAUAUCGAAGGGCCAUGAAAAUGAGGAGGUCAUUGAGUUUUGUAUUGACUUUAUUCCUGACCUUAAGCCGAUUGGUGUUCCUGAAUCGCGGCAUAAGGGCAGACUAGAUGGAAAAGGCAUGCUAGGAGGGGAUCAAAUAAUAUGUAUGGACGGGCAUUCUCUCAUUGAAGCACACUACACAGUUCUACAUAAUUCCGCUUGGUGGCUCCGUAUAUGGAGGAACACAAGAAUUUUCUACACUCCAAACACCCGGAGCAGUCUGAUGACUGGAUUACACGUGAACAAACGAGGACUUUCGCCGGUUGGUUGCAGACACGUGCCAUGUAUGAUGGCGAUAUUGAAGAUGACAUGUACUUGUUGUCCCAGUUACCAUCUUCGAAUAUAAUGACUUUCAAAGGGUACGCGAUAAAUGGGAAUACAUUUUACACGAUUGCCCAAGAUAAGAAGAGCACAAACCAAAACAGUGGUGUCCGCUUUGAUGCAACAACCAACACGGGAAAGGAAACAUAUUAUGGUUACAUAGAGGACAUAUGGGAACUUAACUAUGGAGGUGGUUUGAAGGUCCCUUUGUUUCGGUGCAAAUGGGUCAAUAUGACACGAGGCGGGGUAACGGAAGACCUGCGGUACGGAAUGACAACAGUGGAUCUCAACAAUCAUGCAUAUGCAGACGAACCAUUCGUCCUAGCCAAUGAUGUGGUGCAGGUUUUCUAUGUGAAAGACAUCUCUACCAGGCCGAGAAAAACAAAAGAUAAGAAAGCGAAUGCAUCAUACGAUGAGCCAAAGCGCCACAUAGUUCUUUCAGGGAAAAGAAACAUCAUGGGAGUGGAUGACAAGACAGACAUGUCAGAAGAUUAUGAAAAGUUUAUGAAAUUGCUCCAUUCAUAGUGAAUAUUGAUCCGAGCAUCUAUAUAAAUGAUGAAGAUUGUCCAUUGUUAUGGCACAAAGGGACACACGCAAAGAAAAAGUUUCACACCCAAGGAUCCCACUCUGGGAUGUGAUAGGCUUCACCGUCAUCACUUUCUUUUCAGUAGUGACUUUCCGGACUUAUAUAUCUGGAAAGUGCCGCUUCGAACAAAUCGGAGGGUGCCUUUAGUACCGGUUGUAGCCACCACCCGGUACUAAAGGGGGGCGCUUCCCGCCGCUUCGCCUGGGCAAAACAGCCCUUUAGUACCGGUUGGUGGCUCCAACUAGUACUAAAGGGGUGGUCCUAUAUAAGUAACACUUCAAAAGUUUGUCAGUUUCGUUCUCUCCCUUUGCUUCUUCUCCUCUGCCCCGUCACAUCCGCCCCCGUCGCCAUCCCCAUCGUUGUCCCCGUCGCCGUCCGUCGCCGUCGCCACCGCCCCUCGUCGCCGCCCCCGUCGCCAUCUGUCGCCAUCUUCUCUGCCUCGCCAUCCCCUCGCCUUGCCGUCGCCGUUGCCGUCGCCUCGCCCGCGCUGUGAGCCCCUCUCCCCGGCCCCUCUCCUCCCUCCAAUCGAGGCCGCCGCGCCAUCGGCGCCGUAGGUGCACAUGCGCACGCGCGCGCGCACACACACACGCACACACACAGACACAUGCACACACGCGCGUGCACACACACACACUUGAUUCUGUUUUUAGUUUUAGUUUUUAGUUUUUAGUUUUUUCUGUUUUUAUACAAAUGUUUUAGAUGAUAAUUAAUUAAUUAGAUUAGAUUAAUGUAAAAUAGUAUAUAGAAAUGUCAGAAAUGUUAUAGAAAUGUUAGAAAUUUUAGAAAUGUUAGUUUUAGCUAGAUGAAUUAGAUUAAUUUCAAAUUGUUAUAGAAAUGUUAUAGAAAUGUUAGUUUUUAGUUUCUUAUAAUUUUAGUUAUAGAAAUUUAGAAUUUGCAUAUAAGAAAUCACAAUCCAAUCAUUUAAAAAUUGUUACUUUUGCGACGUAUAGUAUUUGUUCUCGAUGAUGCUCGGCCCGCAUCCUCGCCGUCGACCCGUUCACGACAACGUCCUGCUUCAGAGGACCCAUGUCCGGGACUGGGCUCCGGCAGGCUGGGACUGGGAGGUCCUACCUUCAGGGGCUCGCCGCUUGGUGAGGAACCCGGGUCCCGUCGUCGACCCUGAGCUCCUUUAGUGGCGUUCCCGUGGGCCACUUUGGUUGCAGAGGGAGCCGGCCCCGCCGGAGGUUGUGCGUCGUCGUGUCAGGGAGGAGGACGAGCACGUCCGUCGCUGCAUGGCUGCUAUGGAUGUCAGGUUCUCCAAUACCUGGCAGGGUCUUUGGGGAGAUGACCGGAGCUAUGAUCCUGUGAUGGUUCCUUCUCUUUGGGUGUCCACUGAUGACCAACAAGUGUAGGGGAUCUAUCAUAGUCCUUUCGAUAAGUAAGAGUGUCGAACCCACGAGGAGCAGAAGGAAAUGACAAGCGGUUUUCAGUAAGGUUUUCUCUGCAAGCACUGAAAUUGUAGGUAACAGAUAGUUUUGUGAUAAGAUAAAUUGUAACGGGUAACAAGCAAUGAAAGUAAAUAAAGUGCAGCAAGGUGGCCCAAUCCUUUUUGUAGCAAAGGACAAGACUGGACAAUUUCUUAUAAUGAGAAAAGAGCUCCCGAGGACACAUGGGAAUUAUCGUCAAGCUAGCUUUCAUCACGCUCAUAUGAUUCGCGUUCGGUACUUUGAUAAUUUGAUAUGUGGGUGGACCGGUGUUUGGGUACUGCCCUUACUUGGACAAGCAACCCACUUAUGAUUAACCCCUAUUGCAAGCAUCCGCAACUACAAAAGAAGUAUUAAGGUAAACCUAACCACAUCAUUAGACAUAUGGAUCCAAAUCAGCCCCUUACGAAGCAACGCAUAAACUAGGGUUUAAGCUUCUAUCACUCUAGCAACCCAUCAUCUACUUAUUACUUCCCAAUGCCUCCCUCUAGGCCCCAAUAAUGGUGAAGUGUCAUAUAGUCCACGUUCACAUAACACCACUAGAGGAAAGACAACAUACAUCUCAUCAAAAUAUCGAACGAAUACCAAAUUCACAUGACUAUUAAUAGCAAGACUUCACCCAUGUCCUCAGGAACAAACGUAACUACUCACAAAGCAUAUUCAUGUUCAUAAUCAGAGGAGUAAUAAUAUGCAUUAAGGAUCUGAACAUAUGAUCUUCCACCAAAUAAACCAAUUAGCAUCAACUACAAGGAGUAAUCAACACUACUAGCAACCCACAGGUACCAAUUUGUGGUUUUCGAUACAAGAUUGGAUACAAGAGAUGAACUAGGGUUUGAGAGGAGAUGAUGCUGAUGAAGAUGUUGAUGGAGAUUGACCCCCUCCCGAUGAGAGGAUCGUUGGUGAUGAUUUCCCCCUCCUGGAGGGAAGUUUCCCUGGCAGACAGCUCUGCGAGAGCCCUAGAUUGGUUCCGCCAAGGUUCCGCUUCAUGGCGGCGGAGUAUCGUCCCGUAAGCUUGUCUCUAAUUUUUUUUUCCAGGGUAAAAGCAUUCAGAUAGCAUAAGAUGGGCAUCGGAGGGCCACCACAGGGCCCAGGAGAUAGGGUGGCGCGCCCAGCGCCCCCCACCCUCCUGGCCAGGGUGUAGGCCCCCUCUGGUUCUUUCUUCGCUCAAUAAUUCUUAUUAAUUCCAAAACUGACUUCCGUGGAGUUUCAUGAUUUUUGGAGCUAUGCAAAAUAGGUUUCCAAUAUUUGCUCCUUUUCCAGCCAGAAUUCCAGCUGCCGGCAUUCCCCCUCUUCAUGGUAAACCUUGUAAAAUAAGAGAGAAUAACCAUAAGUAUUGAGACAUAAUGUGUAAUAACAUCCCAUAAUGCAAUAAAUGUCGAUAUAAAAGCAUGAUGCAAAAUGGACGUAUCAUCCACCGCCCGCGCCUUGGGAACCUCGAGUGGCCUAGAUUAUUCUGUAGUAUUCGAUCUUUAUUAGCUAGCUAGCUAGUGAUGUAUUUGAUAUAUAAUAUACGAGACAAUGUAUUUGAGAUUAUAUAUUAUUCGAGACGAUGCAUAUUACGUACUAUGAUUCAGGAUUUCCUUAUUGAUUGCAUGCAUGCAUUAUAAUUUGAAUACUAAAUUGUUUUAUAUUUCUUCUGGAUUAGUUAAAUAAAAGCUAUGGCGGACAAUACCGGCAGAGAGGGAGAAGAGGCCCUGUUCGAGAUCAUACGCUCCCCUCACGGGCCAGAUGAUCGAAAUGAAGAAGAUGACGGCUCCCAAUAUCUGAACAAUACCGGGGAGGGUGAUGAUGAGAUGAUAUUCGAUCGCGACGACCAAAUUGAUGAAGUCAUGGACGACGACUAUGAUGAUGAUCAUUGCAAAGAAAAUGUUGAUCUUGAAAUUGGCAAAGAAAAUGUUGAUCUUGAAAUAACAGAAUUGAUGAAGUCAUGGACGACGGCUAUGAAAUGAAAAAAGGUGGACGCUAUGGCAUUGGGUUCAUUGACCCAAAUACUGUUAAUGAAGAAACAUGGAAAUAUCCAUGGUAUCAAGCAGAUGUAGAGAAAAACAUGCUAGAGUUCUUGAAGCGCCUCAAUACCAAUGAAGAUAUACUACUUUCUUACAACUUCUUGUGAGUCACACUGUCUUGUACUACAAAUUCUAUUUUUACUUACUAGCUAGCUAGAUGUUAAUAAUUAUUACUACCAAUGAUGAGUGCUAUGCACAUGCCCACUUAAUUAAGACAUGCAAACGUGUGUGUGCAUGCAAUUACCAUUGGAUCUUGUUAAUCAUUAAAGUUGACGAAGGAACAAUUGAAGUACAGGACUCACUACUUUAAAAAAGAGACUACUCAAUUGUGAAGGGGAAGUCGACAGGUAAUUUCAAUCAUUAUUAACUACAUGUCGGCCUCUUUAGUUUGUCAUUUCCUGAUAUCAACUAUUUAAUAACUCGUUUAUUCAUUUUCUUUGCCGGCGGGCAGGGCUUGGGAAAAUUUCAAGAAUGAGGUUUCAGGAGAAUGCAGAGAAAAGCUGUAUUGGUUUCGACACAAGGUAUAAUUAAUUAAGUAGUACUAGCUAGCUACCAUGCAGCUCUUUAAUUCUAGUUUCAAUACCAUUAAUUAUCAUGCUUGAUUAAUUAUUAUCUGAUUAAAUUGUAUUCUCGUAAAGGCCCUGAAGCAGGCGGAGGGGACUGAUGUGUGUGCAUACUAUGUUUUCGAGAACAUUCGCACGAUGACGCCCGAAAGGACCAAAACUGAUAGACAGCUAUGGGUACGUUUGACAGAACAAUAUUCACAAUUUUUACAUCAUUAUAGAUAUCUAGUCAUAUAACUAAUACACAUGCAUAUUGAUCUCCUUCUUAACAGUUUGAAUCGGUGCGGGAGAAGCUCCUACCAGAGGAGCGCAUACGAGCACUUCAAGAGGAAAUAGCAGGAUUUUUGCUCGACAAGGUCAUAGAUCCCAAAGGGGAAUUCUAUUACGAGCUACUGCCCCAAUGAACCACUCCCAGUUGUCAUCGUGCUCCGAAGGCACCAAGGCAAAUGCCACUGGCUCUGAAGGCACCAAGGCAAAUGCCACUGCCUUUGAAGGCAACAUGUAGGAAAAACUGUGUAUAUAUACAUGUGUAUGUGUGAAUAAUGGUGUGGUUGUGAGACAUUCGAUGAUAUAUAUAUAUAUAAUAUGUAGUAUCUUAAAAUACCAGCAAACAAAAAAGAAUUAUAUGGAAAACACAAAAUUAAAGGAAAAAUAAAUAAUAAAAUCAAAAACCCCAAAAAAUUUAGUACCGGUUGGUGUUACCAACCGGUACUAAAGGUCUCCCCACACCCGGCCCUGGCUCGUGCCAUGUGGUGGCCCUUUAGCGGCGGUUCAUGCAGAAUCAGUACUAAAGGGGGGGAAAGGUCCCCACCCGUUAGUGCCGGUUACAGAACCGACACUAAAGACCCUUACGAACCAGAGCUAUAGCCCGGUUCUGCACUAGUGAGACGUUGUGGGUGGUGAAAGCAAUAAACUCACACCCACACCAAGACACUCGAUCGAGGAGGUGGAAGGCAUCGAAGGGGUUGGUGAAGGUAGCGAGGAGCGCAACCACAACGCCAUUGUGAUUGACCUCCUCAACAUGGAACAUCCUUGGAGAGCCACGAGGGAGGUGGCGGUAGCCGGCCGAAAGGAAGAACUCUGUUAAUUCCCUUGCGCCCCUCCACCUAGAGAUCGCCCAAACCCUAAGAGUGUUUGAUACGACCAUUUUGGAUCAUGCUUUUAUAUCAAUAUUUAUUGCAUUAUGGGAUGUUAUUACACGUUAUAUCACAAUACUUAUGCCUUUUCUCUCUUAUUUUAGAAGGUUUACAUGAAGAGGGAGAAUGCCGGCAGCUGGAAUUUUGGACUGGAAAAGGAGCAAAUAUUAGAGACCUAUUGUGCGCAACUCCAAAAGUCCUGAAACUUCAAGCGAUCAGUUUUGGAAUAUAUUAAAAAUAUUGGGCGAAGAAAGCACCAGAGGGGGGCCACCAGUCAUCCACGAGGGUGGAGGGCGCGCCCCCCUACCUCGUGGGCCCCUUGGAAAGCCCCCGACUCCCAUCUUCUGCUAUAUGGUGUCUUUUACGCUGGAAAAAUCAGAGAGAAGCUUUCGGGAUGAAGCACCGCCGUCUUGAGGCGGAACCUGGGUCGGACUAAUCUAGGGCUCCGGCAGAGCUGUUCUGCCGGGGAUACAUCCUUCCGGGAGGGGGAAAUCAUGGCCAUUGUCAUCACUAUCGAUCCUCUCAUCAAGAGGGGGUCAAUCUCCAUCAAUAUCUUCACCAACACCAUCUCCUCUCAAAACCUAGUUUAUCUCUUGUAUCCGAUCUUUGUCUCAAAACCUCAGAUUGGUACAUGUGGGUUGCUAGUAGUGUUAAUUACUCCUUGUAGUUGAUGCUAGUUGGUUUAUUAGGUGGAAGAUCAUAUGUUCAGAUCCUUCAUGCUAUCCAAUACUCCUCUGAUUAUGAACAUGAAUAUGCUUUGUGAGUAGUUACAUUUGUUCCUGAGUACAUGUGAGUAGUUACGUUUGUUCCAGUGUCCCUUCUGCUUGAAGUAGAGACAUUCGGUCCCUUUAGAAGCUCAUCCCUUGUUCUUCUUCUGAGACUCGGUCUUGCCGGCUUCAAUAUAUUUCUUCUUCUUGGACUUGCCCUUCUUCUUGAAAUUGGUGGUCUUGUUGACCAACAAUAUUGUUUUGUUCUUCUGCAUUCCAGCUUCCAUAGUUUUGAGCAUAGAAAACAACUCGUUUGCAAUUUUCUCCAUCCCAUUCAUGUUGUGAUUCAUGAUAAAUACAUCAUAAGAUGGUGGAGUGAAGCAAUCACAAUAUAUGUACCGAGUGUCGAUGGAAUUACAAAUUCCAGAGAAGCCAGUCUGUCAACAUAGCCAGCAAGCUUUACUAUAUGCUCACUCAUUGAGGAACCCUCUUUCACCUUUCAUUCAAUCAAGGCGUUGUCUAAUUCAAAAUGUUUGGCCCUCUCCUUCUUGUACAGAACUUACACUGACCCACCUAUGAAUUGAGUAUUAGAUCAUUCAAAAUGCUUCUGUAGUUCAGGAUCCAUGCAAGUUAACAUGAGGCACGAACUGGAUCAUAGUCAUCACUACGAGCAACGUAAGAAGCCACUUCUUCUGGUGUUGCAUACUUUUCGGGCGCAUCACCUAGGGGCUGAUCCAGCAUGUCCUCCUUCUUAGCACUCCCGAGAAAAAAAUCUCAGGUUUUGGAUCCAAUCUGCAUAGUUUCCACCAUUAGCAUCUAACAUUUCUUUCUCUAACAUAGGGGCUAACUUGAACUUAUUGCGAGCCAUUGAUCUACAAUGAUAGAUACAAAAUUCAUGUAGACAUUAUUCAUAAUUAAUGUUGCACUAGUGAUUAAAAAUUAAUAUAAAGUGCACUCUCACUCAAAUCAAUAUCUCUCAUAAUUGAUAGUGAGUGAUUCAAGAUCCAAAUCUAGUUAUCAGGCAUUGGUGUGGACGAUGACGAGAAUUUUGACUGGUGGGCAAACUUUUGCCGAUCAUAUCCCCAUAUUGCUCUUGUUCAUCUUUCGAUGCUUUGUGCUCCGAGCUUAGAACGGUUGUGCUAGAACUUUAAGAUAACCGAGUGCUAUCUGCUAACAUUGUCUGACCAGUCCCAUCUUACAACUCAUAUCCCGUUUGUACUCAUGUGGACAUGACGCACUCCGGAAUGCUACGUGUUAUAGACGGUUGCAACACUGGGAAGAAAACCAUUUAACUCGAUAUUAACUAUGAGAGAUCACCCUAAUAAUUGACUACUGCGCAAAUAUCUCAUGAGAGAUCACUAGGGCUAUACCAUAUUAACUGUGAGAGAUCAAAGAGUGCAAACAUCAAAGGGAUAAACAUCUCAGGAAAUUCAUAGCAGCAUGAUAUGGUAUAGCCCUGGGCGUUGGGAAUCUCUGUCAUCAUCUUCAAUCUCCAGUUGAAGCGUCAUGAGGUCCAAUAUUUCACUGCCGUGGCAACCGUUUAAAAAAUGUUGCCAUAGCUGCAAUUUCAUGAAACAUUGUUGUGGCGACUGUUUCAGAAAAUGUUAUCGUGGCACCAAAUUUAGAAGUUCCGUCGUGGACGAAAUUAUAGCUUCUCAUCCCGCACCUAGUACACCUUCUCCUCGUUGGAGUCCUUCGUGUAUAGUUGCCAUCGUUACCUGUAACAUGUAGGAUAUCUCUACGGAUUUUACAUUAAUGUGGCAAUCCCAUGGUCGAGCCAUCAUGUCGUGACGUGCACGCCACUUAACAUUACAACAUAUAACAAUCUCAUACAUAAACUCAUUAUCAUGACGAAGGCUAUACCACAUCAAAUGCAUACCCUGCAAAACCAAGUUAGACAUCCUCUAGUCAGUUUUAGAAAAAAUUUAUUUGCACGGUUAACCAGUUUUAGCAAGUAAUACUAGCUACCUACGUUCACAAUAUAGGCAAUGAUUCUUGAUGCUAGAUUAAGUUUUAGGGUGUGUUUGAAAGAAGAGACUUAAUUAAAAUUCUUGUCCCAUGCACUAAACUUCGUCAAACACGCGUGACACCUUAGAAGAUCAUCCAUCUUCGGCACUCUCUUGUGUACGCGAUGGUCCACUUUUUGACCAUUUUUGUAUAUAUUAACAUCGCUGGAAACUUUUUCCACCUAUAUAUAAUUUAUUGGUAAUACCCAGUAUUACCUGAUACUCUCUCAAACCCUUCCGGUGGCCCUGAAACGCUUCCGGAUCCUCUCAGAACUAUUUCAAAUAUUCAUGAAAUAAUUUCACAAAUAUAUUCUCAUGAGUCCCAUCCUAGUAACACUUAGAAGAUCCUAACUACCUUAAGCUUGUGACCCUAUAUUUUCGGUAACUCAUAGACACAAAUGAUACCGUUCAUCCAAUGACCGAUAGCUGGGUCGUGGACGUCCACAUCGAUCCCUAUGAGCACACGAAUGAUACUCAAGUGAACCUUUGGUCAUCAUGUGAUGUUCCCUUUGCUUCACGAUACUUCACAAAACCCAGAAUGCAUCGGUAUCCUCCUGAGUCAUCACCAUAGUCACUAUACUGAAAUCUCCGUUACCUAUUUUGUUCUUCUUUCUCGUUAUUGUGUUCAGUCAUCCCCAUGACAUAGUCACCUGUGUCUGGCUAUACCAUGAUUGGUAUCGUCACACCGAGAGGACCCUAAGAUUGUCUCUCCAUUGUCGGAGGACCAGAUCCCACUCUCGAUCUAUCUAGUCCCUUGUCAAACUUUUCAAUGAACCUGUAAGUUGCCAUUAUGAUCGCCAUGUUAUAGGUGAAGUUUGAGGAGAAAAGUCACAUAUUAACACCGUACGAUAAGAAGUGACUAUGAUACUCUCAUGGUCUAAGGAGAAAAAUCACAUAUUGUGUUAUUAUAAUUGAGUACAAACGAUAUUAACCCAAUUCGUAACAAACGAGUUUGGGUCGAUUCAAUAUGAUCGUUCUUCUAACGUCAUAAUCUCAAUGUUGUUCUAGGACUAUUGUUGUACUUAACAAUAUCAUAGGAACCAGAAAACGCGGUCACCAACAACACUUGAGCUAGUCCUAGAGGCAAAACUAUGAAUAUUUUAUUUAUUGUUUAUCAUUCCCGACGUGCAUAUGCGUUUUCCACUAAAUCGCAUAUUCCACGAUCAUAGCAGUUAUAGCACAGAAUAUAAACUCUAUAAUUACAAAUAUGAAAACAUAAUAAUAGAAAGAUCGUGCACUACUACUUUUUCAGGGGUCCACUACUACUUCUUCAAAGACCGUGGACUAAUACUUUUUGGCAGUACUACUUGUCGAUUUUCAUUGCUAAUCAAUUAGUUACCAGUCUUCUUUUUCUUCUUCUGCCUACGAGGAAGUUCAUUUUCAAGAUUAGUUUUUCUUUUAUUAUUGUUUUCUUUAUCUUCUUUUUAUGUUCGCAGUGAUAGUGUUUUCUACAAGAAGAAAUAAGUGGCAAAAAAUCAUGAUUUUUUUUUGUUUUCGUCUUACUGUUUCCAUCAUGUUCUCCUUAUGUUAUUAGGUACUUAUUAUUAGUAUUUUUCUAUGAAAAUGUUUUUUCUAAAUAUGAAAAUAAGUGGGAAAUGUGUGUCACACUUCGGAGGUUCAUUGGUAAUGUGUGUGUCACACAUAGCGGUGCAUUGGAAUAUUUUUUCAAGUUUUUUUUGUGACUUCCUCUCUAUUGUUUUCUUCAUAUUCUUUUAAAAUCCUAGGAGAUUUUAUUGAGAAAUAAAUAUUUGAAACUACACAAUUGUGUCACGCAUAAGAACAUAUCUCUGGAAAAUCUUGAAGGAACAAAUAUAUGAAUGAAAAUAGAUUUGUGUUCACAAAGUCUGUAUGUCGGUUAAUUCAUGAUGGGGACAUAGGUAAAGUUUAAAUCGCGGUUAUGGGGAAAGACUUCAAGACCUUGUUUGACAAGUGUGCAGCCCAACAUAAGGUAGCUAGAAAAGUAGCAAGUGCAUAGUCAUCUACUAGCAUCCCUAUGUCCCACUUUUUUCUCAAGCUAUGUUCAAGCCUGUUUUAUUGGCUAAAAUAACAAGAAUAUCAAAAGGUGGAAACUACAAAGAGGAUGAUAAUGAACCAUUCAAUGAUGCUUUCGAUAGUCUUGGUUGGUGAAAGGUGAAUACACUUAGUGUUGGAAAUAUGCCCUAGAGGCAAUAAUAAAAGGAUUAUUAUAAUAUUUCCUUGUUCAUGAUAAUUGUCUUUUAUUCAUGCUAUAAUUGUGUUAUCUGGAAAUCGUAAUACAUGUCUGAAUACAUAGACCACAACAUGUCCCUAGUGAGCCUCUAGUUGACUAGCCCAUUGAUCAAUAAAUAGUCAUGGUUUCCUGACUAUGGACAUUGGAUGUCAUUGAUAACAGGGUCACAUCAUUAGGAGAAUGAUGUGAUGGACAAGACCCAAUCCUAAGCAUAGCACAAGAUCGUGUAGUUCGUUUGCUAGAGCUUUUCCAAUGUCAAGUAUCUUUUCCUUAGACCAUGAGAUCGUGUAACUCCCGGAUACCAUAGGAGUGCUUUGGGUGUACCAAACGUCACAACGUAACUGGGUGACUAUAAAGGUAUACUACGGGUAUCUCCGAAAGUGUCUGUUGAGUUGACACGGAUCGAGACUAGGAUUUGUCACUCCGUAUGACGGAGAGGUAUCUCUGGGCCCACUCAGUAAUGCAUCAUCAUAAUGAGCUCAAAGUGACCAAGUGUCUGGUCACGGGAUCAUGCAUUAUGGUACGAGUAAAGUGACUUGCCGGUAACGAGAUUAAACGAGGUAUUGGGAUACCGACGAUCGAAUCUCGGGCAUGGAUCGUACCGAUUGACAAAGGGAAUUGUAUACGGGGUUGCUUGAAUCCUCGACAUCGUGGUUCAUCCGAUGAGAUCAUCGAGGAGCAUGUGGGAGCCAACAUCAGUAUCCAGAUCCCGCUGUUGGUUAUUGACCGGAGUGCCCUCUCGGUCAUGUCUACGUGUCUCCCGAACCCGUAGGGUCUACACACUUAAGUUUCGGUGACGCUAGGGUUGUAGAGAUAUUAGUAUGCAGCAAACUGAAAGUUGUUCGGAGUCCUGGAUGAGAUCCCGGACGUCACGAGGAGUUCCGGAAUGGUCCAGAGGUAAAGAAUUAUAUAUGGGAAGUCGAGUUUCGGCCAUCGGGAAAGUUUCGGGGGUCACCGGUAUUGCACCGGGACCACCGGAAGGGUCCCGGGGGUCCAUUGGUGGGGCCACCUAUCCCGGAGGUCCCCAUGGGCUGAAGUGGGAGGGGAACCAGCCCCUGGUGGGCUGGUGCGCCCCUCCUUGGGCCCCCCUGUGCCUAGGGUUGGAAACCCUAGGGUGGGGGGCGCCUCCACUUGCCUUGGGGGACAAGGCACCCCCUUGGCCGCUGCCCCCCUUGGAGAUUCAAUCUCCUAGGGCCGGCGCCCCCCCUGGGGACCCUAUAUAAAGGGGGAGGGAGGGCAGCCGCACCCUUGCACUUGGCGCCUCCCUUCCCCCUUGCUACACCUCUCCCUCCUGCAGACGCUUGGCGAAGCCCUGCCGGGAUCCCUGCUGCAUCCACCACCACGCCGUCGUGCUGCUGGAUCUUCAUCAACCUCUCCUUCCCCCUUGCUGGAUCAAGAAGGAGGAGACAUCUCGCUGACCGUACGUGUGUUGAACGCGGAGGUGCCGUCCGUUCGGCGCUAGGAUCUCCGGUGAUUUGGAUCGCGACGAGUACGACUCCCUCAACCCCGUUCUCUUGAACGCUUCCGCUUGAUCUACAAGGGUAUGUAGAUGCACUCCUCUCUCUUGUUGCUAGAUGAACUCAUAGAUUGAUCUUGGUGAAACCGUAGGAAAAUUUUUAUUUUCUGCAAUGUUCCCCAACAGUGGUAUCAGAGCUAGGUCCAUGCGUUGUUCUCUUUGCACGAGUAGAACACAAAUUUGUUGUGGGCAUAGAUGUUGUCAACUUUCUUGACACUACUUGUCUUAUUUUGCUUCAGCGGUAUUGUGGGAUGAAGCGGCCCGGACCGACCUUACACGUACGCUUAUGUGAGACAGGUUCCACCGACUGACAUGCACUAGUUGCAUAAGGUGGCUAGCGGGUGUCUGUCUCUCCCACUUUAGUUGGAGAAGAUUUGAUGGAAAGGGUCCUUAUGAAGGGUAAAUAGAAGUUGACAAAUCACGUUGAGGUUUUUUUUCGUAGGUAAGAAAACGUUCUUGCUAGAACCCUAUUGCAGCCACGUAAAAGAUGCAACAACAAUUAGAGGACGUCUAACUUGUUUUUGCAGCAAUUGCUUUGUGAUGUGAUAUGGCUAAAAGUUGUGAUGAAUGAUAUAUAUGUGAUGUAUGAGAUCAUGUUCUUGUAAUAGGAAUCACGACUUGCAUGUCGAUGAGUAUGACAACCGGCAGGAGGCAUAGGAGUUGUCUUAAUUAUUGUAUGAUCUGCGUGUCAAUGAUUUAACGCCAUGUAAUUACUUUACUUUAUUGCUAAACCGUUAGCCAUAGUAGUAGAAGUAAUAGUUGGCGAGCAACUUCAUGGAGACACGAUGAUGGAGAUCAUGAUGAUGGAGAUCAUGGUGUCAUGCCGGUGACAAAGAUGAUCAUGGAGCCCCGAAGAUGGAGAUCAAAGGAGCUAUAUGAUAUUGGCCAUAUCAUGUCACUGUUUAAUUGCAUGUGAUGUUUAUUAUGUUUAUGCAUCUUGUUUACUUAGAAAGACAGUAGUAAAUAAGAUGAUCCCUCAUAAUAAUUUCAAGAAAGUGUUCCCCCUAACUGUGCGUCGUUGUGACAGUUCGUUGUUUCGAAGCACCAUGUGAUGAUCGGAUGUGAUAGAUUCUAACGUUCACAUACAAUGGGUGUAAGACAGAUUUACACACGCAUAAACACUUAGGUUAACUUGACGAGCCUAGCAUGUACAGACAUGGCCUCGGAACACAAGAGACCGAAAGGUCGAACAUGAGUCGUAUGAAAGAUACGAUCAACAUGGAGAUGUUCACCGAUGAUGACUAGUCCAUCUCACGUGAUGAUCGGACACGGCCUAGUCGACUCGGAUCAUGUAUCACUUAGAUGACUAGAGGGAUGUCUAAUCUGAGUGGGAGUUCAUUAAAUAAUUUGAUUAGAUGAACUUAAUUAUCAUGAACUUAGUCUAAAAUCUUUGCAAAAUGUCUUGUAGAUCAAAUGGCCAAUGCUCAUGUCAACAUGAACUUCAACGCGUUCCUAGAGAAAACCAAGCUGAAAGAUGAUGGCAGCAACUAUACGGACUGGGUCCGGAACCUGAGGAUCAUCCUCAUAGCUGCCAAGAAAGCAUAUGUCCUAGAAGGACCGCUAGGUGAAGCACCCAUCCCAGAGAACCAAGACGUUAUGAACGCUUGGCAGUCACGUGCUGAUGAUUACUCCCUCGUUCAGUGUGGCAUGCUUUACAGCUUAGAACCGGGACUCCAAAAGCGUUUUGAGCAACACGGAGCAUAUGAGAUGUUCGAGGAGCUGAAAAUGGUUUUCCAAGCUCAUGCCCGGGUCGAGAGAUAUGAAGUCUCCGACAAGUUCUAUAGUUGUAAGAUGGAGGAAAAUAGUUCUGUCAGUGAGCACAUACUCAAAAUGUCUAGGUUGCACAACCGCCUGUACCAGCUGGACAUUAACCUCUCGGACGAGGCGGUCAUUGACAGAAUCCUUCAGUCGCUCCCACCGAGCUACAAGAGCUUUGUGAUGAACUACAAUAUGCAGGGGAUGGUGAAAACUAUUCCUGAAGUAUUUUCAAUGCUGAAGUCAGCAGAGGUAGAAAUCAAAAAGGAACAUCAAGUGUUGAUGGUCAACAAAACCACUAAGUUCAAGAAAGGCAAGGGUAAGAAGAACUUCAAGAAGGACGGCAAGGAUGUUGCCACGCCGGGUAAGCCAGUUGCCGGGAAGAAGUCAAAGAAUGGACCCAAGCCUGAGACUGAGUGCUUUUAUUGCAAAGGGAAGGGACACUGGAAGCGGAACUGCCCCAAAUACUUAGCGGACAAGAAGGCCGGCAACACUAAAGGUAUAUGUGAUAUACAUGUAAUUGAUGUGUACCUUACCAGUACUCGUAGUAGCUCCUGGGUAUUUGAUACCGGUGCAGUUGCUCAUAUUUGUAACUCAAAGCAGGAACUUCGGAAUAAACGGAGACUGGCGAAGGACGAGGUGAUGAUGCGCGUCGGGAAUGGUUCCAAGGUCAAUGUGAUAGCCGUCGGCAUGCUACCUCUACAUUUACCUACGGGAUUAGUUUUAAACCUCAAUAGUUGUUAUUUAGUGCCAAGUUUGAGCAUGAACAUUGUAUCUGGAUCUCGUUUAAUACAAGAUGGCUACUCAUUUAAAUCCGAGAAUAAUGGUUGUUCUAUUUAUAUGAGAGAUAUGUGUUAUGGUCAUGCCCCGAUGGUCAAUGGUUUAUUCUUAAUGAAUCUCGAACGUAAUGUUACACAUAUUCAUAGUGUGAAUACCAAAAGAUGUAAAGUUGAUAACAAUAGUCCCACAUACUUGUGGCACUGCCGCCUUGGUCACAUUGGUGUCAAGCGCAUGAAGAAGCUCCAUGCUGAUGGACUUCUAGAGUCUCUCGUUUAUGAAUCAUUUGACACAUGCCAACCAUGCCUCAUGGGCAAAAUGACCAAGACUCCAUUCUCCGGAACAAUGGAGCGAGCAACCAACUUAUUGGAAAUCAUACAUACCGAUGUGUGCGGUCCAAUGAGCUUUGAGGCUCGCGGAGGAUAUCAUUAUGUUCUCACUCUCACUGAUGACUUGAGUAGAUAUGGUUAUGUCUACUUGAUGAAACACAAGUCUGAGACCUUUGAAAAGUUCAAGGAAUUUCAGAAUGAGGUAGAAAAUCAACGUGACCGAAAGAUAAAGUUCUUACGAUCAUAUCGUGGAGGAGAAUAUUUAAGUCACGAAUUUGGUACGCACGUAAGGAAAUGUGGAAUCGUUUCACAACUCACGCCGCCUGGAACACCUCAGUGUAACGGUGUGUCCGAACGUCGUAAUCGCACUUUAUUGGAUAUGGUGCGAUCUAUGAUGUCUCUUACCGAUUUACCGCUAUCUUUUUGGGGAUACGCUCUAGAGAUAGCUACAUUCACUUUAAAUAGGGCACCGUCUAAAUCCGUUGAGACGACACCGUAUGAAUUAUGGUUUGGGAAGAAACCUAAGCCGUCGUUUCUAAAAGUUUGGGUAUGCGAUGCUUAUGUCAAGAAACUUCAACCUGAAAAGCUCGAACCCAAGUCGGAAAAAUGCGUCUUCAUAGGAUACCCUAAGGAAACCAUUGGGUAUACCUUCUACUUAAGAUCCGAGGGCAAGAUCUUUGUUGCCAAGAACGGGUCCUUUCUGGAGAAAGAGUUUCUCUCGAAAGAACUAAGUGGGAGGAAAGUAGAGCUUGAUGAAGUACUACCUCUUGAACCGGUGAGUAGCGUAGCUCAGGAAGAUGUUCCUGUGGUGCCAGCACCAACUGAAGAAGAAGUUAAUGAUAAUGAUCAAGGUACUUCAAAUCAAGUUACUACUGAACUUCGUAGGUCCACGAGGACACGUUCCACACCAGAGUGGUAUGGCAACCCUGUCCUGGAAAUCAUGUUGUUAGACAACGGUGAACCUUCGAACUAUGAAGAAGCGAUGGCGGGCCCAGAUUCCAACAAAUGGCUUGAAGCCAUGCAAUCUGAGAUAGGAUCCAUGUAUGAAAACGAAGUAUGGACUUUGACAGACUUGCCCGAUGAUCGGCGAGCGAUAGAAAAUAAAUGGAUCUUUAAGAAGAAGACGGACGCGGAUGGUAAUGUUGCCAUCUAUAAAGCUCGACUUGUCGCUAAGGGUUAUCGACAAGUUCAAGGGGUUGACUACGAUGAGACAUUCUCUCCCGUCGCGAAGCUAAAGUCCGUCCGAAUCAUGUUAGCGAUUGCCGCAUACUAUGAUUAUGAGAUAUGGCAGAUGGACGUCAAAACGGCAUUCCUUAACGGACAUCUUAAGGAAGAACUGUAUAUGAUGCAGCUGGAAGGUUUUGUCAACCCUGAGAAUGCUAACAAGGUAUGCAAGCUCCAGCGAUCCAUUUAUGGGCUGGUGCAAGCAUCUCGGAGUUGGAACAUUCGCUUUGAUGAGAUGAUCAAAGCGUUUGAGUUUAUGCAGACUUAUGGAGAAGCCUGCGUUUACAAGAAAGUGAGUGGAAGCUCUGUAGCAUUUCUCAUAUUAUAUGUAGAUGACAUACUUUUGAUGGGAAAUGAUAUAGAACUUUUGGACAGCAUUAAGGCCUACUUGAAUAAGUGUUUUUCAAUGAAUGACCUUGGAGAAGCUGCUUACAUAUUAGGCAUCAAGAUCUAUAGGGAUAGAUCGAGACGCCUCAUAGGUCUUUCACAAAGCACAUACCUUGAUAAGAUAUUGAAGAAGUUCAAUAUGGAUCAGUCCAGGAAAGGGUUCUUGCCUGUAUUGCAAGGUGUGAGAUUGAGCUCGGCUCAAUGCCCGACCAUGGCAGAAGAUAAAGAAGAGAUGAGUGUCAUCCCCUAUGCCUCAGCCAUAGGGUUUAUUAUGUAUGCCAUGCUGUUUACCAGACCUGAUGUAAACCUUGCCGUAAGUUUGGUAGGAAGGUACCAAAGUAAUCCCGGCAAGGAACACUAGGCAGCGGUCAAGAACAUCAUAAAGUACUGAAAAGGACUAAGGAUAUGUUUCUCGUUUAUGGAGGUGACGAAGAGCUUGUCGUAAAAGGUUACGUCGACGCUAGCUUCGACACAGAUCUGGAUGACUCUAAGUCACAAAUCGGAUACGUGUAUAUGUUGAAUCGUGGAGCACUAAGUUGGUGCAGUUGCAAGCAGAGCGUCGUGGCGGGAUCUACAUGUGAAGCGGAGUACAUGGCAGCCUCGGAGGCAGCGCAUGAAGCAAUAUGGAUGAAGGAGUUCAUCACCGACCUAGGAGUCAUACCCAAUGCGUCGGGGCCGAUCACUCUCUUCUGUGACAACACUGGAGCUAUUGCCCUUGCCAAGGAGCACUACUAGGAAAAGGGCUAUAGAUAGGAUUGAUACUAAUGGCGCACCUGGUAAGCAGUGCGCCACUACUAUAUACUAAUGGCGCACCGGUCGGAGGUGCGCCAUUAGUGUGGAAGACACUAAUGGCGCACCAGGCACACGGUGCGCCACUAGUAUUGAUUUUGUUUUCCAUUUUUCCAUACACUCUAAUGGCGCAUGGUGCCAAAGUGUGCCAUUACUAGUUCUACCAAGUAAUGGCGCACCUUGUAAGCAGUGCGCCAUUAGUAUAUAAUUUUUUUUACUUUUUUGCAAAACUGCUAAUGGCGCACCGUGUAUAUUUUCAUGGACACUUUUUGAUCUUGAUCUCGAUCCCACCCGCACCCUCCCCCGCUAGCUCCACCGCCGCCGAUGACCCACCGCAACCCUCCCCCGAUCCACCGCCGCCGACGAGCACCCGGCCCCCCCGCACCCUCCCCCGCUCCACCGCCGCCAACGGGCACCCCCCGCACCCUCCCNNNNNNNNNNNNNNNNNNNNNNNNNNNNNNNNNNNNNNNNNNNNNNNNNNNNNNNNNNNNNNNNNNNNNNNNNNNNNNNNNNNNNNNNNNNNNNNNNNNNNNNNNNNNNNNNNNNNNNNNNNNNNNNNNNNNNNNNNNNNNNNNNNNNNNNNNNNNNNNNNNNNNNNNNNNNNNNNNNNNNNNNNNNNNNNNNNNNNNNNNNNNNNNNNNNNNNNNNNNNNNNNNNNNNNNNNNNNNNNCACCGCCGCCGCCGAUGAUAUUUCCAAGUAACAAAUUUGAACAUAUUUUUAAAAAAAUUAUUACUAUUUUUAUAAAAAAAAUAUUACUGUUAUGAUUUAAACAAGUUUGAACAUAUUUAAACACAAAUAAAUAUAAAAAACAGUAUUUAAAAUGCAUAAAAAAAUAUUGGGAGCCUGGGAAUCGAACCCAAGACCUCCUGGUGUGUGUGCUGCGUGCUGACCAGUCGGGCUAGUGGGUGGGUUCUGUUGUAGAUAGGGUUAGGUUGUAGAUAGGGCUAGUGGGCUAGAUUAGAACAAAAUUCUAAUGGCGCACCGAGCGCUGGUGCGCCAUUAGAAUAGUCGUACUUAUGGCGCACGAGAUGGUGGUGUGCCAUUAGAAUAGUCGUACACUAAUUAAAUCCCCAAUCUCUCUAAUCUCUCCCCUCGAUCUCACCCGCUGCCCCCCUCCCCCCCGUGUUCGCCGUCCCGCCUUGCUCCGCCCCCUCCGUCCGCCGCGCCUGCACGCCGUCGGCGACGCCGCUGCCUCUCCUGGCUGUGGUCUUGUGCUGCCCCGACGCCGCCGCCCCGACCGCCGCCGGACUCCACCCUCGCCGCCCCUGCGCCCCCCAAACGGGAUCGGCCGAGCGCACACGCUAGGGCUCCUCACCCUGCCGCCCGCUCCUCUCCUCUCCUCCUCCCUCCGACGAGCGAGGGCCUCCUCCAGCCCCUGCAGCAGCCGGCAAGCGCGGCCCCGACGCGCCCACCCCGCCUGCCACUGCCGUCCUCCGCCACCAGUCACCUCCGCAGCAGCCGGCGAGCCAAGGACGGUGUCGUGACCCUCGCCGCCAACCCUGAGCUCCCCUGCUUCCUCUCUGCGCCGUCCAAGGUGAGCUUCCCUGCCCCUUCUCCCUCUCUCUCCAUGUCCUGGACAGCAAGAUCAAGAGAAUUAUGCUUUUAAUUAAAAUUAUGCUUUGAACAGUAGAAACAAAAAACAGAGUAUGGACCACUCAUCCAAUAUUUUAAGUGUUCUGAUUCAUAAGUAAAUCGCCUUAAUUCAUUCAGUGUAGGGGAAACUUAGAAGAGAAUUCAACAUCCUUGGUCUGUUUUCUACGCAAUUCAUAAAAUAAAUUGCCUUCAAUAUUUUCCCUCAAGCAAUGUUAAGCACCAACAUAUACUCCAAGUUUAAUGUUUGACACAAAUUCAGUUUAAUGUUUGACACAACUGUCCAGUACCAAAGACUUAGGAGUAUUGCAAAAUAUUAAGAUAAUGGUAACUGGCUUUUCUUCUUUUCGACAACACGCGGGUUGAUGGUUUGAUAGGCUCCUAACGGUUCAUGUAUCAUCACUUACUGACAUCCCAAACAUAUGCAGAAAUAUGCCUAUAUGGCCUAGACCUACAACUAUCUCCUGCUAUGGAUGUUUGCUGAACCGAAUAAAUAUGCCUAUAAGGCUAGUACUAGUAGUGCUACUCUCUUACUGCCAGUGACAGUCUAUCGAGGUCAUUAACUCCAACUCAAGUGGGCAUAAUUCUCUGCAGUAGUAUAGCACUUGCAGUAGUAUGGCACUUGCAGUAGUGCGGGACAACAGUAGUUUAGUGCAAGUUUCAGUUAAUUAGCUGGAUUAAAAAGAUGCUUGGGGAUCUGCAGGAGUAGGACAAGCAAAUCUGCUUGAAUAUUUGUUUAUUCAAAGUAAAUGAACAUUUUACUGCUAGUGUACUGAUAGUGUAAUCUAGCUAUUGUACUGAUAUUUCUGUUUCUUUGAACAUUUUACUAUCAAUAAAAAUGAUGUACUGCAGCUUUCAGUUAAUUCAAAUUAGCUAAAACCUUUUACUGGCAAAUAGUGCUAAUGUUUACUCUAUGAAAUAAACUACUCCAUGUCAAAUAAACCUUGCUAGGUGAAUCUUGUUUGCAUUAGGAGUAGUUGCUGGAAAUUUACUGAAUUUUGUUAUGUGCUUUGUGGUGCUAGUUUGCUGGGUUUUGUCUCCGACCAUUGUGUCGUGAUGAAUUUGCAGGUACCCCGAGAGGCCCUUGAGUUUGCCGGAAUGUCGAUUAACUUCCGUUCCGGCAAAUUCGGGUACUCCAUAUGUCCUAUUUUCAGCAAAGGUAAUGCUGAAAUUUUCUGUGAAUUUUAGCAUUACUUUGCUAAAAAUAGGACAUAUGGGGUACUUGCGACUAAUGCCUGUUAUCAUGCAUGGGUACUAAUUGGUCUCUUCUGCUGCUUAUCAGAGAUGGCGGGAAGCAGCCACCGUCGAUCUGCGAUACCGCAGUACGAGUUGGAUGCUUCCGAGUUCUUCACUAUCAUACUUGAGGCUUCAGUAUCAUCCAUGACGCAGGUAUAUAAAACGAGAGAUCUCCCCUUCACCCAUCUCAUUAUGAUAUCUGUUGUUUGCUAAAUCACUCAUUGUCCCAAACUGCAGAGGCUGCCUGAUAGUUUUAUGAACAUGCUGAUGGGUGAAGAUCCGCCAAAUAAUGUGAAGCUGCGACAAGCCGGCAGCGGGUUUCGCAGGCAAUGGGAUGUGCAGUUGGUGAUCAAGAAGGGCCACAUGUACUUGUCUCGUGGGUGGGAGAAGUUCUACCGUGCCUACGACCUGCAGCUGUGGUACUUCCUUCUCUUCAGGUAUGACGACGACGCCAACAUGCUCAUCAUGAAGGUGUUCAACAAGACUAUGUGUCGCAUGCGCUACGCUGCCAAUGAUGAUGCCGGUACGUUCUGCCUCUUCUUAUUCCUCUACAUUUGGCUUUGUCUCACAUCGAUUGUUAACGGUCAUUGUUGCAUUUUGGAUAGGUAAUGGGAGCAGCAGCAGCGACACUGGCUACAGCCAAAGCAGCAGCGACUAUGGCUGCAGCGAAAGUAGCAGCGAUUCUGGCUGUAGCGAAAGCAGUAGCGAUUCUGGCAGCAGCAUAGACAACAAGAAGGAUGAUCCGGACUGGAGUGCGGGAGAAGAGGAGCAGAGUGAGGAUGAGGAGCUGCAGGAUGACGAUGGGCAUCAGGCUGAGGAUGACCUAGCGCUGGUGGUGGCUGACCAAGGGCAAGAGAUGGUGGUGGCUGACCAUGGGCAAGAGAUGGAGGUGGCUGAGGAUGACCUAGCGAUGGUCGUGCCUGAAGGUGGCCUCGCGAUGGUGGUGGUGUCUGACAAUGACCACGCACCGGUGGUGGCGCCGGCGAUCCCACAGCUGGGCGACAUGACCACGCCAAUUGUGGUAGAAGACUACAUCCCACUCCCUCCACUGCCUCCACCACCUCGCCGCUCUAGGCGCAACAGGGAGAGGAAGGAGAAGAAGGAGAAGAACAAUGCAUGAGAACUGAACUUUGUUAGGUAUGUCAGAUCUCCUAUAGGUUAGCUAUCCAAAAUGAUAUAUAUAUAUAUAUAUAUAUAUGUAUAUAUACUUAGUUACCUAUGUUAUCUCUAAUAUGCUUAGUUUCCUAUAGGUUAGCUUCAUUUUUACCUAAGUUGGCUAUAAUAUACUAACUUAGAGCUUAUAUGCUUAGUUUCCUAUAGGUUAGCUCCAAAAUAACUUAUGUUAGCACAAAAUGAUCAAGUUUACAUAAUAAGCUUAUAGUCUUUUUCUUAUUCUUCUUCUUUUCCAAAAUGACAUAGGUUAGCUUCAUUUUUACCUAAGUUGGCUCUAAUAUACUAACUUAGAGCUUAUAUGCUUAGUUUCCUAUAGGUUAGCUCCAAAAUAACUUAUGUUAGCACAAAAUAAUCAAGUUUACAUAAUAAGCUUAUAGUCUUUUUCUUAUUCUUCUUCUUUUCCAAAAUGACAUAGGUUAGCUUCAUUUUACCUAAGUUGGCUCUAAUAUACUAACUAAGAGCUUAUAUGCUUAGUUUCCUAUAGGUUAGCUCCAAAAUAACUUAUGUUAGCACAAAAUGAUCAAGUUUACAUAAUAAGCUUANNNNNNNNNNNNNNNNNNNNNNNNNNNNNNNNNNNNNNNNNNUAUACUAACUAAGAGCUUAUAUGCUUAGUUUCCUAUAGGUUAGCUCCAAAAUAAUUUAUGUUAGCACAAAAUGAUCAGGUUUACAUAAUAAGCUUAUAGUCUUUUUCUUAUUCUUCUUCUUUUCCAAAUGACAUAGAUUAGCUUCAUUUUACCUAAGUUGGCUCUAAUAUACUAACUAAGAGCUUAUAUGCUUAGUUUCCUAUAGGUUAGCUCCAAAAUAACUUAUGUUAGCACAAAAUGAUCAAGUUUUACAUAAUAAGCUUAUAGUCUUUUUCUUAUUCUUCUUCUUUUCCAAAAUGACAUAGGUUAGCUUCAUUUUACCUAAGUUACCUAAGUUCUUCUUCUUCUAACUUCUUGUUUAUCAUUUUGCAGAUUUGAUUUAAUUGACGGAAGCUUGCGUGGAUGGAGUGCUUCUUUUCCAUUUGUGUUUUUAUUUUGUAUCAAUGUGAAACUUUUGUGAAUUGAUGGAUAACGGUGUUGGAUGAACAAUGUGAAACUUUUGUAAUAUGUAACGACGGAACUAUGUGUUGGCUAUGUAUGUAUAUAUGAUGAAACUUGUGUGUUGGAUAUGAUUGUUAUAUGGAUGCUUGUUGUAUAUAUAUGUGUUGAAUAUCUCAUAUGUGAAAUAGUGACCUGAGAUUAAGAAAAAACAAAAAAAAUUAAAAAAAUUGUUACUAAUGGCGCACUACCAUGUGGUGCGCUAUAAGUAUAGCAGAUAAUAGUGGCGCACUGUGGGCAAUACUAAUGGCGCACUAAGUGGUGCGCCAUUAGAAUACCAGAUUCUAAUGGCGCACCAGUGGUGCGCCAUUAGUAAAAAAAUCUAGUGGCGUGAUACUAAUGGCACACUGGUAAUGCGCCAUUAGUAGGCAAAACUAGUGCACCAUUAGUAGGCCUUUUCCUAGUAGUGGAGCCCAGGUUUCACAAGAAGACCAGGAACAUCAAGCGUCGUUUCAACUCCAUCCGUGAAAAUGUUCAAGAUGGAGACAUAGAUAUUUGCAAAGUGCAUACGGAUCUGAAUGUCGCAGAUCCGUUGACUAAACCUCUUCCGCGAGCAAAACAUGAUCAACACAAGAACUCUAUGGGUGUUCGAUUCAUCACAAUGUAACUAGAUUAUUGACUCUAGUGCAAGUGGGAGAUUGUUGGAAAUAUGCCCUAGAGGCAAUAAUAAAAGGAUUAUUAUUAUAUUUCCUUGUUCAUGAUAAUUGUCAUUUAUUCAUGCUAUAAUUGUGUUAUCCGGAAAUCGUAAUACAUGUGUGAAUACAUAGACCACAACAUGUCCCUAGUGAGCCUCUAGAUGACUAGCCCGUUGAUCAAUAGAUAGUCAUGGUUUCCUGACUAUGGACAUUGGAUGUCAUUGAUAACAGGAUCACAUCACUAGGAGAAUGAUGUGAUGGACAAGACCCAAUCCUAAGCAUAGCACAAGAUCGUGUAGUUCGUUUGCUAGAGCUUUUCCAAUGUCAAGUAUCUUUUCCUUAGACCAUGAGAUCGUGUAACUCCCGGAUACCGUAGGAGUGCUUUGGGUGUACCAAACGUCACAACAUAACUGGGUGACUAUAAAGGUAUACUACGGCUAUCUCCGAAAGUGUCUGUUGAGUUGACACGGAUCGAAACUGGGAUUUGUCACUCCGUAUGACGGAGAGGUAUCUCUGGGCCCACUCGAUAAUGCAUCAUCAUAAUGAGCUCAAAGUGACCAAGUGUCUGGUCACGGGAUCAUGCAUUAUGGCACGAGUAAAGUGACUUGUCGGUAACGAGAUUAAACGAGGUAUUGGGAUACCGAUCGAAUCUCGGGCAUGUAUCGUACCGAUUGACAAAGGGAAUUGUAUACGGGGUUGCUUCAAUCCUCGACAUCGUGGUUCAUCCGAUGAGAUCAUCAAGGAGCAUGUGGGAGCCAACAUGGAUAUCCAGAUCCCGCUGUUGUUUAUUGACCGGAGAGCCGUCUCGGUCAUGUCUACGUGUCUCCCGAACCCGUAGGGUCUACACACUUAAGGUUCGGUGACGCUAGGGUUGUAGAGAUAUUAGUAUGCAGCAAACCGAAAGUUGUUCGGAGUCCUGGAUGAGAUCCCGGACGUCACGAGGAGUUCCGGAAUGGUCCGGAGGUAAAGAAUUAUAUAUGGGAAGUCGAGUUUCGGCCAUCGGGAAAGUUUCGGGGGUCACUGGUAUUGUACCGGGACCACCAGAAGGGUCCCGGGGGUCCACCGGGUGGGGCCACCUAUCCCGGAGGGCCCCAUGGGCUGAAGUGGGAGGGGAACCAGCCCCUGGUGGGCUGGUGCGCCCCCCCCCCUUGGGCCCCCUGCGCCUAGGGUUGGAAACCGUAGGGUGGGGGGCGCCUCCACUUGCCUUGGGGGGCAAGGCACCCCCUUGGCCGCUGCCCCCCUUGGAGGUUCAAUCUCCUAGGGCCGGCGCCCCCCCUGAGGACCCUAUAUAAAGGGGGAGGGAGGGCAGCUGCACCCUUGCACUUGGUGCCUCCCUUCCCCCUUGCUACACCUCUCCCUCCCACAGACACUUGGCGAAGCCCUGCCGGGAUCCCUGCUGCAUCCACCACCACGUCGUCGUGCUGCUGGAUCUUCAUCAACCUCUCCUUCCCCCUUGCUGGAUCAAGAAGAAGGAGACGUCUCGCUGACCGUACGUGUGUUGAACGCGGAGGUGCCGUCCGUUCGGCGCUAGGAUCGCCGGUGAUUUGGAUCACGAUGAGUACGACUCCCUCAACCCCGUUCUCUUGAACGCUUCCGCUCGAUCUACAAGGGUAUGUAGAUGCACUCCUCUCUCUCGUUGCUAGAUGAACUCAUAGAUUGAUCUUGGUGAAACCGUAGGAAGAAUUUUAUUUUCUGCAACGUUCCCCAACACUUAGGUACCAAUUGUUGCAAAAUUGGAAAAAAGGUUCCUAACUAUCCUGGCUACCCCUGUAUCUUCAGAGUCAACUUUUAGCACACGUGGGAAGAUUUUAGGUAUGUCAACUUGACAUUUUUAAUUUUCUAUAUGAACUUGUCAAAUGGUCACCCUUGAACUUAGAUUUUUCAACUUGGGUGCUAUUAGAUGACUAUAUGAGUCCUCUAAAACCUGGUAUGGUUGAAGGUUUGGUGUGUGGUGCAAUUUAUAUCAAGGGUGCACACCGAUACUUGAAUGGGUGGUAUGUUUUCUAUCUUUUUUUCUUACAUGUUUUCUUAUUCUGUAUAUUGGAUGUCAUGUGCGGAUUUGGCUAAGUUCUACUCUCUCCGUUCCUAAAUAUAGGGUGUAUAGUUUUUGGCACGGAAAUUAAAGAACGCACGUUGAGGAAAAAUUUCACAAGUUUUGGUCAAGAUUUCACCUGACUAAUUGACAUGAGAAAAUAGAGGAGCUUACCUAAUAUAAGAAAAUGUAAUCAAAUCCCUAAAAAAAUUAUCUAAACGAGUGGUGCAACGCAAUACACUUUAUAUUUUGGACUUUUUCUCAAAAAUCUAUACACCUUAUAUCAAGGAACGGAGGGAGUACAAUUUUAGCUCAGGGAUGAGGAUGAGGAGCAUGUUGGGAACAUCAAGUUACACACGAAUGCGGAGGAGGUCAACAACUGGUAACUAUACUUCCAACAUGUUUCAAAAUGUAGCUCCUAAGUCCUAACUGUCUUAUGUAUGCUCUACUUGUUGUGGGAACAAAAGACUAAAUAGAGGCUUUUGUAGUGGUAAACAAAACUUUAUUAAUCAAAUGUAAGGUUUAUAGGGAUGAUAUAAGGGUCAUGGGGGCCCCAGCCACAGGUGGCGACCAUGAUCUAAAGAACAAGAAAAUUAAUCCAGACUAUGAGCUUCAAAACUCAUGGCACGACCUUCAAAUAUAAAUUCGCAUAUGUCAAAAUCUAUCACCAGUGCAAUGAUUCCUUUGAUGAUUAUGCCAUAUCUGUUGGUGCCACUUUUGACUUUAUUUUUAGGUUUGCCACUUUUGACUAAAUAGUGGCUAAUUUAUUUAUUUAUUGAGAAGUUGGGCCCACUGCUAGCCGGUCCAUUCGGAUCGAAUCCGGACCGCGUCUGAACUGAUGACCGACGAGGCAUGGAACGGCUCAGUCCUAGGUAGAAAGAGAGGAGAGAGAGGG
rnacentral:lncRNA from 1 species